GACGAACCGUGCGAACGUUAUUCGGAAUCACUGGGCUUAAAGCGCGUGUAGGCGGGCCGGCACGUCGGUCGCUGAAAUCCCCCGGCUCAACCGGGGAACGGGCACCGAUACGACCGGCCUGGAGGGACGUAGGGGGACCUGGAACUUCCGGUGGAGCGGUGAAAUGCGUUGAGAUCGGAAGGAACGCCCGUGGCGAAAGCGAGGUCCUGGACGUUUACUGACGCUGAGACGCGAAAGCCAGGGGAGCGAACGGG
rnacentral:rRNA from 1 species